rnacentral:rRNA from 1 species
GACGUUGGGCGCGAGCGUUGUCCGGAUUUAUUGGGCGUAAAGAGCUCGUAGGCGGCUUGUCGCGUCGAAUGUGAAAACUCGGGGCUCAACUCCGAGCUUGCAUUCGAUACGGGCAGGCUAGAGUUCGGUAGGGGAGACUGGAAUUCCUGGUGUAGCGGUGAAAUGCGCAGAUAUCAGGAGGAACACCGGUGGCGAAGGCGGGUCUCUGGGCCGAUACUGACGCUGAGGAGCGAAAGCGUGGGGAGCGAACAGG